GAUGAAGAACGUAGCGAAAUGCGAUACGUAAUGUGAAUUGCAGAUUUCAGUGAAUCAUCGAAUCUUUGAACGCACAUUGCGCCCGCUAGUAUUCUGGCGGGCAUGCCUGUUCGAGCGUCAUUUCAACCAUCAAGCCCUAGGCUUGCGUUGGAGCCCUGCGGCUGCCGCAGGCUCCCAAAUCCAGUGGCGGGCUCGUCGUCGUACCGAGUGCAGUAAACAUCCUCGCUCAGGGAACGUGACGGGUUCUUGCCGUGAAACCCCCCACAUAUCAAGGUUGACAUCGGAUCAGGUAGGAAUACCCGCUGAACUUAAGCAUAUCAAUAAGCGGAGGA
rnacentral:misc_RNA from 1 species